GGUUAAGCGACUAAGCGUACACGGUGGAUGCCCUGGCAGUCAGAGGCGAUGAAGGACGUGCUAAUCUGCGAUAAGCGUCGGUAAGGUGAUAUGAACCGUUAUAACCGGCGAUUUCCGAAUGGGGAAACCCAGUGUGAUUCGUCACACUAUCAUUAACUGAAUCCAUAGGUUAAUGAGGCGAACCGGGGGAACUGAAAACAUCUAAGUACCCCGAGGAAAAGAAAUCAACCGAGAUUCCCCCAGUAGCGGCGAGCGAACGGGGAGGAGCCCAGAGCCUGAAUCAGUGUGUGUGUUAGUGGAAGCGUCUGGAAAGGCGCGCGAUACAGGGUGACAGCCCCGUACACAAAAAUGCACAUGCUGUGAGCUCGAUGAGUAGGGCGGGACACGUGGUAUCCUGUCUGAAUAUGGGGGGACCAUCCUCCAAGGCUAAAUACUCCUGACUGACCGAUAGUGAACCAGUACCGUGAGGGAAAGGCGAAAAGAACCCCGGCGAGGGGGAGUGAAAAAGAACCUGAAACCGUGUACGUACAAGCAGUGGGAGCACAGAGCAAUCUGUGUGACUGCGUACCUUUUGUAUAAUGGGUCAGCGACUUAUAUUCUGUAGCAAGGUUAACCGAAUAGGGGAGCCGAAGGGAAACCGAGUCUUAACUGGGCGUUAAGUUGCAGGGUAUAGACCCGAAACCCGGUGAUCUAGCCAUGGGCAGGUUGAAGGUUGGGUAACACUAACUGGAGGACCGAACCGACUAAUGUUGAAAAAUUAGCGGAUGACUUGUGGCUGGGGGUGAAAGGCCAAUCAAACCGGGAGAUAGCUGGUUCUCCCCGAAAGCUAUUUAGGUAGCGCCUCGUGAAUUCAUCUCCGGGGGUAGAGCACUGUUUCGGCAAGGGGGUCAUCCCGACUUACCAACCCGAUGCAAACUGCGAAUACCGGAGAAUGUUAUCACGGGAGACACACGGCGGGUGCUAACGUCCGUCGUGAAGAGGGAAACAACCCAGACCGCCAGCUAAGGUCCCAAAGUCAUGGUUAAGUGGGAAACGAUGUGGGAAGGCCCAGACAGCCAGGAUGUUGGCUUAGAAGCAGCCAUCAUUUAAAGAAAGCGUAAUAGCUCACUGGUCGAGUCGGCCUGCGCGGAAGAUGUAACGGGGCUAAACCAUGCACCGAAGCUGCGGCAGCGACACUGUGUGUUGUUGGGUAGGGGAGCGUUCUGUAAGCCUGUGAAGGUGUGCUGUGAGGCAUGCUGGAGGUAUCAGAAGUGCGAAUGCUGACAUAAGUAACGAUAAAGCGGGUGAAAAGCCCGCUCGCCGGAAGACCAAGGGUUCCUGUCCAACGUUAAUCGGGGCAGGGUGAGUCGACCCCUAAGGCGAGGCCGAAAGGCGUAGUCGAUGGGAAACAGGUUAAUAUUCCUGUACUUGGUGUUACUGCGAAGGGGGGACGGAGAAGGCUAUGUUGGCCGGGCGACGGUUGUCCCGGUUUAAGCGUGUAGGCUGGUUUUCCAGGCAAAUCCGGAAAAUCAAGGCUGAGGCGUGAUGACGAGGCACUACGGUGCUGAAGCAACAAAUGCCCUGCUUCCAGGAAAAGCCUCUAAGCAUCAGGUAACAUCAAAUCGUACCCCAAACCGACACAGGUGGUCAGGUAGAGAAUACCAAGGCGCUUGAGAGAACUCGGGUGAAGGAACUAGGCAAAAUGGUGCCGUAACUUCGGGAGAAGGCACGCUGAUAUGUAGGUGAAGUCCCUCGCGGAUGGAGCUGAAAUCAGUCGAAGAUACCAGCUGGCUGCAACUGUUUAUUAAAAACACAGCACUGUGCAAACACGAAAGUGGACGUAUACGGUGUGACGCCUGCCCGGUGCCGGAAGGUUAAUUGAUGGGGUCAGCGCAAGCGAAGCUCUUGAUCGAAGCCCCGGUAAACGGCGGCCGUAACUAUAACGGUCCUAAGGUAGCGAAAUUCCUUGUCGGGUAAGUUCCGACCUGCACGAAUGGCGUAAUGAUGGCCGGGCUGUCUCCACCCGAGACUCAGUGAAAUUGAACUCGCUGUGAAGAUGCAGUGUACCCGCGGCAAGACGGAAAGACCCCGUGAACCUUUACUAUAGCUUGACACUGAACAUUGAGCCUUGAUGUGUAGGAUAGGUGGGAGGCUUUGAAGUGUGGACGCCAGUCUGCAUGGAGCCGACCUUGAAAUACCACCCCUUUAAUGUUUGAUGUUCUAACGUGGACCCGUGAUCCGGGUUGCGGACAGUGUCUGGUGGGUAGUUUGACUGGGGCGGUCUCCUCCUAAAGAGUAACGGAGGAGCACGAAGGUUGGCUAAUCCCCGGUCGGACAUCAGGAGGUUAGUGCAAUGGCAUAAGCCAGCUUGACUGCGAGCGUGACGGCGCGAGCAGGUGCGAAAGCAGGUCAUAGUGAUCCGGUGGUUCUGAAUGGAAGGGCCAUCGCUCAACGGAUAAAAGGUACUCCGGGGAUAACAGGCUGAUACCGCCCAAGAGUUCAUAUCGACGGCGGUGUUUGGCACCUCGAUGUCGGCUCAUCACAUCCUGGGGCUGAAGUAGGUCCCAAGGGUAUGGCUGUUCGCCAUUUAAAGUGGUACGCGAGCUGGGUUUAGAACGUCGUGAGACAGUUCGGUCCCUAUCUGCCGUGGGCGCUGGAGAACUGAGGGGGCUGCUCCUAGUACGAGAGGACCGGAGUGGACGCAUCACUGGUGUUCGGGUUGUCAUGCCAAUGGCACUGCCCGGUAGCUAAAUGCGGAAGAGAUAAGUGCUGAAAGCAUCUAAGCACGAAACUUGCCCCGAGAUGAGUUCUCCCUGACCCUUUAAGGGUCCUGAAGGAACGUUGAAGACGACGACGUUGAUAGGCCGGGUGUGUAAGCGCAGCGAUGCGUUGAGCUAACCGGUACUAAUGAACCGUGAGGCUUAACCUU
rnacentral:rRNA from 1 species